rnacentral:rRNA from 1 species
CAGUCGCCGCGGGAAUACAGAGGGUGCAAGCGUUAAUCGGAAUUACUGGGCGUAAAGCGCGCGUAGGUGGUUUGUUAAGUUGGAUGUGAAAUCCCCGGGCUCAACCUGGGAACUGCAUCCAAAACUGGCAAGCUAGAGUACGGUAGAGGGUGGUGGAAUUUCCUGUGUAGCGGUGAAAUGCGUAGAUAUAGGAAGGAACACCAGUGGCGAAGGCGACCACCUGGACUGAUACUGACACUGAGGUGCGAAAGCGUGGGGAGCAAACAGGAUUAGAUACCCCAGUAGUCCCUGUCUCUUAUAC